UGCCGGUGGGCUCGGCCUUCUUAUAUAAGUAUACCCCAUCUUUAUCUUCUUAUUGAGGAUGGUCACUUGAGCUAGCAUAUAUUUUAAACUUAUAAAUAAUUUAUAACAGUUUAAAGUUAUUUCUUUGAAUCACCUUUGUAAUCACCCCGGUCAUGUACAAUGUAAAAUUUUUGUAACCUGUAAAAUUUGGUACUAAGAUUUCCGCUGCAAAAAUGUUGUGUGUGUGAUUUGUGUUACUUAAUCCCGCGGUUCUGGUUGUAAGUGGUUUAUCCGAGGUCCUUGGGGCACUCAGACGGAUCCUGUUAAGUUAUUUGGUACACAUGCAUAGCCGUCUGAGGUCUUUGAGACAAGGACAGGUGCAUGUGGGCCCAAUAGCUUGGGAGGUUCUGCCACAGCUGGUAUCGGAGCUGGAUUAAGUAUAUACGGUCACAUACGUAUUUUUAAAACAAAAGUUUUGGUUUUGAAAAACCUAUUUUCAACUAAACACAUUGUUUGGCUUUGAAAAACAGUUUUGAAAAACUAUAAUGCUAGCGACAUCCUCUGUUAAGCCCUAAGUUAAGGACUAUAAGGUGGCUUAGUUUAGGAUGCUAACCACUAAUCCACAACUAUAAUGCAACUUUCUGCAGGUACACUAACUAAACCCUAGGAAAGUACGACUAGUGUUCAAUGACGGAGUGAGUAGGUAUGCCACCGUCAUAGAACGUGAUAGCCACUAUAUGUUGGCAAGAAUUAUGAGGACGAAUAGGACGAGCAUGCAUCAUGACAUACAAUUUUAAGUUAAACCCCCUAUGUAGUAGCUUAGUACAUGUUUCAUCCAUCUUAUUCAUGCUAUCUAUCUUUGCUUUUCUAUACUACCUUUUCCUAUUCGUGAAGCCUUGAGACUCAGUUCAUUUCGUGGACCUGUAGUUUAUAAGGUACAGUUGCCAAAGAAUUUGUCAACAGUGCACAACAUGUUCUACGUGUCCUAGUUAAAGAAAUGUUUUCGAGUCCUCAAGCAUGUUAUUGAGAUUGCAGAUGUUAACCUUGGACCAGAUUUAACCUACUUGGAAUAUCACAUAAAGGUGUUGGAUCUAAAGGAUCGGGUCACUCGAAGAAAAUUUAUCAAGUUUUGUAAGCUACAGUGGAACCAACACCCGGAAGAUAAACCAUAUGGGAACCAGAGGAGUAUUUAGAAAAACAUUUUCCUGAGUUCCUAGGUUCUCGUAAGUCCUAGGAUUUGUGUAGUUUGUCUUUGGUAUGAACCAAUAGGGGCACACCCCUGCUUUGUAGGAGUAAUGGGGAAAUAAGCCAGUGACGCAUUUCCUUUUCCAUUAUCUAGCCUAGAGUUUUAAAUCUCGGGACGAGAUUUCUUUUUAGGGGGGAAGGCUGUAACACCUCUGGUGUUACGUAAACUAAAACUCUGACAUGUCAUCAUAAGCAUCUGCAUUAAUGUGCUUGUUACACCUAGAAUGCAUUCACUAGGUUAAACUUUUUCAAAAGUGUGAUGUUGUGUGUUGGGUUUAGAGUUUAGUCUAAGGACUUGGCUUAAGCUAAACAGGGGUAGGUCAUCUCUUAAGCAAGUAACAAGUUGACUUGGAGUCUUAAAUGUUAAAGGUAAGUCUUAUAGCCUAGAGUAGACUUGUUUUGGAAUGAUGGUCAAGUGGAAGAAGCGCUUAAGAAGCUGGAAUAACUCCAAACCUUAACUUGAGCUUUGCUUGGAAUAGAUGGUUAAGUAAAGGAAAUUCUAAACCAGAACAUUUUGGAUAUGAGCUAUGUGUAUCAAAGAUUGGAUCUUAGACUAGAGAGUAACCUUGUUUCUGAUGGAUGGAUCAAAGGGAUGAAUCCUUGGAAGAAGCUGAAAUACAAAUGAAACUCAUUUGAAAUCCUAAAACUAGCCCAAAAGAGGAAUUCUAAAAUCUGGAAAUAAUUUGACAAAAGUCCAUAUAUCAAAGUUGUGGAGCUUGGAAAAGUGGAUAUGUUUCUUAUUUGGAGAUUCCUAAGUUGUGUGGAAGAAUUUGGAGUUAAGUACAAAAAUUCAGUUUUGGGUUCAUUUUAGAAUUGCUGAAAAUAAUAUAAACUAGACAACUUUGGACUCUUGUAACUUCUGAUCUAGAACCAUUUUGAAGAUGAUCAUUAUAACAAAGUUAUAGAGCUACAUGAGGAGUUUAAGUUUGGUUAAGUCAUAUAGCUCUAAAACUAUAUGGAACUUUGAGUAAAACUGGUCCAAAUAAAGCUGUCAAAAAUUGUGGAUUUCAGACUUAGUGAAAUUCAGAUUCUGAAUUUCAGCAAUUGGAGCAAACUUUGGGCUAUUGUAGUUUGGAAUUUAAGAGGUUUUGGUUAAUGGUCACUAUAUCAAACUUGUAGAGGAACUAGAGGAGUAUAAACUUUAUUAAGAAACUUGACCCUAAAAACAUUUGGAACCUAGAAAAAAGAGUGGUUCCAAGUGGUGCUGCUUUACUUCUGAAUUUUCAGAUUGAAAACAGUAACUGAAACUGAGUUUCAGUGUUUUGAUAGCAGUUUUGAAGCCUAUUUGUGGCUACUCUAUAAGGUUUUGUGUUAUGGUGUUUGUAAAAUAAGUGAAGACCAUAUAAUGUGGAACAACUUUCUUAUAGGGUGGUGGACCUGAUCCCAUACAAAAAGUGCAGAAAUAGUUGCUCAAAGAUUGGAUUGUCAGGUUGGUUAAUAACUGAAUUUUUAUUCAGUUCUGAACCCUGAAUGGCAGCAAGUUGCCCAGUUUGGAGCUCUAUGAUAAUUAAUCUACGGAGAUUUUGGUUAAGCGUUUUGUAGUAAAGUCAAAGUCCAUAUGAAGGGGAACAUGUCUCUUGAAGUGAGUGGGCCUGGUACUGUACAAGGUUGUGAGUAAAAUUGCUCCCAAACUUGCCCUGUCAGAAUUAGUGUAUGCCGUUUCAGACCUCUAAAACUGAAUUUUCAGUGUUUUUCUUUAGACUUUGGAGCUAGUUGAUGGUUGAUCCAAGGGGUAAAAGCUUAAGGGUUCUGUGGAGGAAUCAUAGAGGGUUGUUUGGUGGACAAGUUUUAUUUAACUUGCUCUCCCUGUUAUUACGAGAAAUUGAGAAGUUGAAGGGGGUUAACAGGGAGGUACGCAACAAGACAAUAGAGCUGAUGAGGCUGAUUCAGAAUUGGGUUCAGAUUCUGUUCAAGUAACUGAAGAAGAUCUGUCUUCCUUGUUGUGUUUAUAUUUGAGUGAAGGGGUAGAGAUAAGGAUUAAAUGCAUAGCUUAGAAGUUUGGGGCUCACUCUGUACUGAAAUAUCCAGUUUUGGACUGUUUGAAGGCAGUGAACAGGGAGACUUUAUCUGUUAGCCUUGGAUGGAUUGAGCUGGGCAGCAAAGUAACUCUAGUGGCUACCCCAUUAGAAAUAUCAAGUCUUGGACAUCUUUGUGCUUAGCCACAAGUGGUGUUCUCAGCCACACGCCUGCCUGUCUGUGUUCACUGAAUAAGGUUGAUAUUUUGGGCUGUUAGAGCAUAUCCACAAGGGAUAUUUGUGUGCUAGCUGUCCAGAUUCAGUGUCUAUAUUGUGCCUGUCAGUUUGUGAGUAUUUGAUGCAUGAAAGCCACGUAUUGGAGCCCAGGUUGUGCUGGCAUCUCUGGGAACUCUUCACCUCCAUGCACUGCACAGGUUUAGUGACAUCUGUCCUUCAUCUGUGGCUAUAAAACUUGGUCCAGGGAAGUUUUCCUCCCUAUCCUCAAGCUCCAGCCAGGUUGCAGCGUGUGUGAGGGUGGUAAAUCUUCUGUCCACACCAGUGUUCACCUCUCCCCUUCCCAAGUUUGCCCAGUCCCUAGGUGGUGACCAUCGUCAGUAGUUAGUCCACCUCGCCGUGACCAGGUAACUUUCAAAGUUUCCUUAGCCGAGCUAUACAUGUUUUGUGCUCUACAUCAGAUAGUGAAGCUCAUAUGAUGAUGAACAAAUCUCCUUAAGACAGUCUUGUUGGAUGCUAUAUGAAAAUUGGAGUAACAGCUGCUCAAAUCUAGACUGUCUGGCGGCUGAAACUGAAUUGUAUUCAGUCCACUGUGAACUGAAAUUCAGCACAAGGGUGUCUAGUUUGGAGCCCUAUGGUAAUUAGUGCAAGGCAAUUUGGGUUAGGAAUUCUUUAGCAAACUGAAAGGACAUAUAUAGGAGAACAAAUUCCCUAAAGAGGGUUGGACUUGGUGCUACACAAAAAGAGGAGUUAAAGUGGCUCCAAGUUGUGCUGUCCGACUGGAGAUAUGUAAAUUUAGUUAACUGUUGCUGGCAGUUUGAGUUAGUUUUUACCCAACUUUGGAGCCUUGUGGUAAUUACUCCAAGGGGAAAUGGGUUAGGGAUUCCACAUCCAGAUAAAAGACCACAUCAAGGACAACAAGUUUCAUUCAAGGAAUGGGCUUGCUACUGUAUAAGUUGGCAGUAAAAAGGUGUCCCAAACUUCUCUGCCAGAGUGGGUGCAGUGCUGUUUCAGUUCACUGAAACUGAACUUUUUUGUGAUUUUGCUCUAUUUUGUGGCAUCAUAACUUUUGAUUAGUAUGGUUUCAGUCUGAGGAUGCUAUGCCAAAGUAGUAGAGCUAUGUCUAGAGAAUAACUUGGAGUAAAUGAGUUGUGUUUGUUGUUGAGGGAAUUUGUGAGUUACAAAGCACUGAACAGAGAGAGAGGAAUGGAGCACUAAAAGAUGAAUUCAGAGAACUGAAAAUAGGUUCAAUGAAUUGUGGCUGAUUCUUGGACACUAUAAAUUGUAGUACAUGCAGUUUGGAUCCUUGCUUAAUGCAUAAAUAAAGUACUUGAUUGGUUAUGGAGGCAAGGUUUCCUAGUUUGGUUGGUGAAUUGAGUUGUGAUAUUAGAGUAUUUAGCUCUCUUAAGGUUUUGUUAGUUUUUGUAUGCACCUUUAGAGAGGUGUAAGUCCUGUGAUGCUUCUUAGUAUUUUCUUUUCAAGUUGCAUAAGCAUAAACAUCCAUGAUCAUGUUAUUUCAUAUAGAACUCCCAGCACAAGGACUGAAGAUUCAAGCUGAAGUGGUGACUGAAGAGGAAUCUACUCCAGUGGCUGCUGAUCAAGUGGAGGAGCCAUCUAACUGGGUAGCUUGUAGAGGGAUCUAGACCUCUUCACUGCAACAAAGGCAAGCCCCGGUGCAUGCAACCCCUUCCUUGUGUUUUUAAAUAAUUUUUGCACACUUUAAGUCUAGUGAAAUGUGCAUUAGGUUUAUAGGAGUUGCUUGAAACCCUUUGAUGCAUUGCCUUCCUUGAUAUCCAUACCUUUAUAGAUACUUCUGGUGAAGUAUCAAAAUAUGAUUUUCAAAAAUGCUUAGCCCUGCUUAGAUCUUGUGGAUAGAGGUUGUCUUUUGCAAUACUGCCUAGCUCAGGGGUUAUCCUGAGGAAAGAUGACUUCUACCUGCAAGAAUAUUUUCAUUGAGAGCGUGGUGGGAUCUUACUACAAAGUUCCCUUUGAUGCUCUUUUCAUCCUAGGAACAUAAACAAUCCUAAGGAUGAAAGUACUUAAAUCGGGACUUGGGCUAGGAAUAGGUGAUGUUCUACCCAGGUUAGCUAAGGAUUGGAUGCGUAUGUAGGCCUGUUGAUCAAGGACUAUCUUAACUAGCCACAUGCCCUGGAAAUGGGACAGGGUAAGCUUGAACCCGGCUAUUCCAUACAUGAAAAGACAAUCGCGCACUGGGAGUGGAGAGAUGGCGAGAGUGGCACGUACCCUCCUGGCAAAGGAUCGCCUAAAAGGGGUGGUGUGCUCUCGGGUGGCGUGGACCUGUUCAUGUAGUGGAGGAUCCGUGGGAACGGUUGACAUAUGCAAGGGUUAAGUGCUACAUAUGUCGUGUGGUUAGAGAUCCUCAGCUGAGUAAAUCGAUUCGGAUCGCCGUUAUAUCCCCGGAGAGUGGAGACUUGAUCUCCGACCUACAACCUAAGUCAGGAUGUAAACAUUAUGAAUAAAAAUGAUGUUGUAUUGAUGAGAUGGUGAAAUUAGACCAGAUGCAAAUAGAGUCUAUUAAUAUUUAAUCUGGCGUUAAAAUAUUGAAAGUAAGGACUCACUUUAGUAAGCUAUUUCUGCAAAAGUAUCUAAGUUGAUUCUUGCUAAAGCCUCUCCUUGAUUCCCAAAUCCAGCAUAUCCUUGAGAGUCUUUUCUUUAGUCGGGUAAGUCUUGCUGAGUAAUUCCAUACUCAGGGUUUUAUUCCCUGUUGUUUUUCAGGUUAUAGUUUUGUGCUGCUGUUGAUGGUGUUAAGUGCCGGUGGGCUCGGCCUUCUUAUAUAAGUAUACCCCAUCUUUAUCUUCUUAUUGAGGAUGGUCACUUGAGCUAGCAUAUAUUUUAAACUUAUAAAUAAUUUAUAACAGUUUAAAGUUAUUUCUUUGAAUCACCUUUGUAAUCACCCCGGUCAUGUACAAUGUAAAAUUUUUGUAACCUGUAAAAUUUGGUACUAAGAUUUCCGCUGCAAAAAUGUUGUGUGUGUGAUUUGUGUUACUUAAUCCCGCGGUUCUAGUUGUAAGUGGUUUAUCCGAGGUCCUUGGGGCACUCAGACGGAUCCUGUUAAGUUAUUUGGUGCACAUGCAUAGCCGUCUGAGGUCUUUGAGACAAGGACAGGUGCAUGUGGGCCCAAUAGCUUGGGAGGUUCUGCCACAGGUACCGGGGUCCUCGGUCACUUGCUCGUCUACUCGCAACAAUACAAACAAACAUGGUAUAGAAGAAAUUAACAUCACACCAAAUAGAGGAAUAUAAUGUAUGAUAAUAUUCUACGCACCAUAACGAGAUCGUGGGUUCGAGAAUCACUAAAUUUGGAUUUACGGUUAAAAAGUUAUGAUUUUACGAAGUUUCAAGUUUUUGGUACGGAAUAAACUACGUGGAUAAUUUUAAUCUAUGUUUCAUGAUAAAACAGGCUUAUUAGAUGAUAAAUAAUAUUAAUACAAAAUUAAUGCAACUGGAAUGGGUAAAAAAGGAGUUAAAAUGGUCAAGUUAUGAAUUUUGUAAACUCCUUAAAUUUGUUUUUUAUACUAAAAACAAUUUUCUCCAUUUAUUUUUAUAUAAAAUGUCUUUUGGACCGUGGGCACAAAUUCUAGGGAAUACCGGGGCACAACUGCAAAUUCUAGGGCUCGGGUGUAAUUUAUUUCCACUGAGAAAGGAUGGUAGGUUGAUUUUUAUUAAGCCUAGGGACUCUUUCGCAAAACGAUCGGGCCGAAGAGGUAUCCCACGCUACGAUCCCCACGAUCCUAUAUAGAUGGUUCAAAUUAAAUCAGCCCCGCACUGAAACGGUAUGCGCCCGUGGCCGUUAGAUCGGCAACCAACAGACCAGAUUUAAAACCCCAACGAUUGAUUCCCACGCGUAUGAUUCGAAUCGGACAGUUCAGUUUACUCUAACCGAAUCGGUACGCUCGGGGAGAUCCGGGCCGUUCAUCCCGAUCCUACUGUUCCGACCAUCACACAGACUCUUCUAAUCUUAACAGUUCAUCGCAAAAUCGAUGGCCCAGAAC
rnacentral:lncRNA from 1 species